GACGAACGCUGGCGGCGUGCUUAACACAUGCAAGUCGAACGAGUGGCGAACGGGUGAGUAAUACGUGAGUAACCUGCCCUCGUUUUGGGAUAAGCCUUGGAAACGGGGUCUAAUACCGGAUAAAGGGGGAUGGGACCGCGGCCUGUCAGCUCGUUGGUGGGGUGAUGGUCUACCAAGGCGGUGACGGGUAGCCGGCCUGAGAGGGUGACCGGGAGCAGUGGGGCUGAGGUACGGCCCAGACUCCUACGGGAGGAAGCAGUGGGGGAGAUUGCGCAAUGGGCGAAAGGCAGAUGCAGCGACGCCGCGUGGGGGAUGAAGGCUUUCGGAUUGUAAACCUCUUACGCGAUAGAACGGGUAGGUGGAGAAGAAGCGCCGGCUAACUACGUGCCAGCAGCCGCGGUAAUUC
rnacentral:rRNA from 1 species